AUUGAACGCUGGCGGCAUGCUUUACACAUGCAAGUCGAACGGUAACAGGCCUUCGGGUGCUGACGAGUGGCGCACGGGUGAGUAAUGCAUCGGAACGUGCCCAGAGGUGGGGGAUAACGCAGCGAAAGCUGUGCUAAUACCCCAUGUGAGCUGAGGAUGAAAGCGGGGGACCAGGCAGCAAUGUUUGGCCUCGCGCCUUUGGAGCGGCCGAUGUCAGAUUAGGUAGUUGGUGGGGUAAAGGCCUACCAAGCCGACGAUCUGUAGCUGGUCUGAGAGGACGACCAGCCACACUGGGACUGAGACACGGCCCAGACUCCUACGAGAGGCAGCAGUGGGGAAUUUUGGACAAUGGGCGCAAGCCUGAUCCAGCAAUGCCGCGUGCGGGAAGAAGGCCUUCGGGUUGUAAACCGCUUUUGUACGGAACGAAAAGGCUCUGGCUAAUACCUGGGGCUGAUGACGGUACCGUAAGAAUAAGCACCGGCUAACUACGUG
rnacentral:rRNA from 1 species